AUGCUCUCCUCCAGUUCACUUCUGCGCCAGGUGGAACCCACCAGAAGGAGCAAGCAACUCAAUGUACAAACCAGCCCGUCCUCGGAGCACUGUGACCUUGACUCCCAUCUGACCAUGCUGAGUCUGAUUGAGGAAGAUCAGAAUGAGGAUGCAGUGGAGGAAGAGCCUGAAAUUGAAGACUUUGAAAGUGACCAUUUUUCUGACCAUGACACAGCCUUUACACAGGUAGAACACUAGCACACCUACAUUUUUCUUUUUGGUCCACUGACCCUACCAUACACACUUUUUUUUUUUUUUAACCUCUUGCUCUUUCCCCUCCUUUUUUCUCCAGCCAUCCAACCGUCAUUCCACCAGCUACUUGGAGGACUUGUUUCAGUGACAGAAAUGAUGUGCCAUCACAGUAACAUUGGAGAAGAACUUGUAGGACAAGAAUUGGAGUUAAAUAGCUUUCUUUUUUCUUUUUUUCUCUGCUUAAAAAUAUUUGAACAUUGAAUGAGUAGAGGUACCUUAAUUAAUAUUAUGAAUGUUUGUUCAAAGACAUAAUGAGAAAUAUCUUCAUUGCUCAUGUACGAAAUAUUUGACACAUGUUUUUUUUGUUGGGUUCUAUGACUUCUGUUUCCACCGAGAUUGUGGUAUUGGUAGGAGCAUGGCUCUUAUAGUGGUGCAAUUUUACAAUUUGCUUGUGUUUCUGCUUUUCUCUUGCAGUUUUUGUUGUCUUAACCACCACUUUUGUUUUGGCAUUUGAUCAAUACAUCAGAGUUUGCACGUUUUCAGUUUGACUUUGAGUAACUUUUUUCAUCUAAUUACAUUAUAGAAGGUGUAGUUAAAUAAAUUGUCUGGUCAUUAACAUGUUUAAUUGAGACUUUUCACUAGGGUUUUAGGUUAAAAUGCCAGAAAGCAUACUAUGAAAGGCAAUAUCAACCUUUCGCGCCACGGAUGACGUUAAGUACUGCUUUGUUGAAUCAUGUGACCACCGACUUGCCGCAAUUUUCGCGCCACAGAGAAGACACGCCUUUGGUAGCAGAGAUACGCAAUUUGAUUGGUUUGUGUAGUCGACAGACUCGCGCCAGUUUUUGCAGUGGGACCUUCAACUUGCCAAACAAGUAGUCUCCCGGUGCCGAAACAAAACGAAUAGUUUUAAAAAGUGUAUAUUGAGGUUUACCCGUCACAUC
rnacentral:lncRNA from 1 species